UUUCGGACUGGGGGUCGCAAGAUUACCCACCCUUGACAAACUACGAAUACUAUCAGUGGAACUACGGCAGUUAGAACGGCGGGGCUAAGCUCGUCGCUCAAAAGGGAAACAGCCCAGACCAUCGUCUAAGGUCCCUAAAUUUACACUAAGUGGGAAACGAGGUGAGAUUUCUUAAACAACGAGGAUGUUGGCUUAGAAGCAGCCAUUCAUUUAAAGAGUGCGUAACAGCUCACUCGUCAAGAGAUCUUGCGCGGAAAAUGUAACGGGGCUAAGUGUAGUACCGAAGACAUGGAUGUCCCAGUAACAGAUUCUAUAAUCAUGUGUCGGCAAAAUGAUUAGCUAUAAGAACAGUCGACUACGCGACACGUUCUUUACGCUAAUAUUUUGCGACACAAGACUAAAACUAGUUAGUUGAUGACAAAUAGGUUCACAAGAACGUGUCGAAGACUGUUCUUUGAACUAUUUCGUCAUCAACAACGGCAGAUUGUAGGAUGUGUUACUGGGGCGUGGUAGAGGAGCGUUGUUAUCGGCGCUGAAGUCGGACCCGCGAGGGCCGGUGGAGCGGUAACAAGUGAGAAUGCUGGAAUGAGUAACCAUAAGGCAGGUGAGAAUCCUGCCCACCGAAAGAGCAAGGUUUCCUGGGCCACGGUAAUCGUCCCAGGGUUAGUCGGUCCUAAGCCGAGGCGCGUAGCGUAGGCGAUGGACAACGGGUUAAUAUUCCCGUACUAGUAUUAUAUUGCUACAUGUGCGCGGCAUAUUAGUCGGAGCGGAUUCAUGGUUAUAUCCGUCUAAGUAAGAGAAAAGCUUACGAAUGAAAAUUCCUUUAGGAAUAAUUCCGAUAAAAGUGCUGACUAGAAAAGCAAUGUAGCGCGUGUAUAGUGCUAUCCGUACCGCAAACCAACACAGGUGCUCAGGUCGAGAAGACCAAGGUGUACGAGUGAUUCUUCGUUAAGGAACUCGGCAAACAAGCGGCCGUAACUUCGGAAUAAGGCCUGCCCUCCUCGUGGGGGCCGCAGCUAAGGAGCCCAUGCAACUGUUUACCAAAAACAUAGGUCUCUGCUAACACGAAAGUGGAUGUAUAGGGGCUGACGCCUGCCCGGUGCCGGAAGGUUAAGGGGAGCUGUGUAUGCAGCGAACUGAAGCCCCGGUGAACGGCGGCGGUAACUAUAACCGUCCUAAGGUGAAAUCGUUGCCUUAGUGGAGUGAAAGACUCCCUCCAAUGUUUCCUCAUUCAUGAGGUUUAAGGAGAAAAUUUGGCUAUAUGCUGGAACAUCUGAGAAUCCUGCGCUACUUAAUAUUUAUUUAAUCUUUACAGAGUAAAAUUAGUAAAUAUGAGUGAAAAUGCGACAGGUGCAGACAAUCAGCAGGGAAGAUUAGAUCCGUGGUGGAUCGUUGGGUUUGUUGAUGGCGAAGGAUGUUUCUCGAUAAGUAUCUUCAAGAAUACAACGUCAAAAUCUGGUUACCAGGUGUUUCCAGAAUUUGUUGUAACGCAAGGUGCUAAAAGUCUAACCGUACUCGAAAACUUACAAAUGUUUUUCGGAUGCGGCAAGCUCUAUGAAAAUAGACGUACAGACAACCAUCGGGAAAGUCUUUACAGAUAUUGCGUAAGAUCUAUAGGUGAUAUUCAGAAGAAGAUUAUUCCUUUUUUUGAGACAUAUCCGCUACAAACUGCAAAGCAACAAGAUUUCUUUGUUUUUUGCGAAGUGGUGAAUCUCAUAAAGAACCGGAAUCAUCUAACUGAAGCGGGCUUACAGACCAUACGCGAAUUAGCAGCCACAACCAACCGACGUAAAGUACGAAUCUAAAACCCUCAGAGACUACACGCCAAACCCUGUCUAACAGGGAAGAUAUAGUCCGGACUGUAUGGCGACAUACAGACUGUGCCAGAAAUGAGCACAGCGCUUACAAAUAAGUAAGAAGUAACAAUAUCAAGCGAAAUUCCUUGUCAGGUAAGUUCUGACCUGCACGAAUGGCGUAAUGAUAUGGGUACUGUCUCAACGAAGAGCUCGGUGAAAGUGCAUUGACGGUAAAGAUGCCGUCUGUCCGCAGCAGGACGAGAAGACCCCGUGCAGCUUUACUACAGCUUGGCAUUGAGCCGGGUCAUAACAUGUGUAGCAUAGGUGGGAGGCUUUGAAGCUUCGACGCU
rnacentral:rRNA from 1 species